ensembl:lncRNA
UAAAUGUUCUUUGGUGAGGUCAUCUGCAGAGCAGGGAAGAGCUCAACUGCUGUCAUCUCCUCUGCCAUGAUCCUCACAGCUUCCUUUGGUUAUUUGAAACUGCAGCUUCAGUGACCGAAGAGUCAGAAGAGGUUGCAAGGAGCAGGGGAAAGAAGAGGUGCUCACGGUGUUCCCACGAAGAACCCCACUGUCACUGCCUCCAUAGCCUGCAAUGCAGGAAGAAGCAGAGUCAAAAGAAGUUACAGGAAGGCUUCAUCUACUUGUACCUUCUCCAUCCAAGGAUGGUAUUAUAUUGGUGGAAGAGCACUGAAUUUUUGUCUUAACCUAAAGCCUUCUUCAGCUGAUACAGGCAAUCUUACUUCCAUAGAAGACUACACCAGUGUGGGAAUAUCCAGUAUCUCCUGUGACAGGAGGGUGAGCCGAGAGGCUGUGCCAGCAGCCACGGGAACAAGAGAGCACGUUUUCCAGGCAAAAC